CUGUGAGACCUGUCGCCCUGAUCCCCUCUGUGAUUAGAUGUGUCAACCACAUAUACGGUUAACCAGAAUUGGGUCUAGGUCAGAUGGAUAGUAGGCAGUACUACCCCUGAUUACUUAGCACAAAGACACUUAAUGACAUCUCAUUGGAGACCACAGGAGCUUUGUGAAGCCAGCGGGACACAAUACAUGGAGAGGUGACCAACAAAUCACUGUUGAUGAGGGGAAUGGAACCUCAACCCAGCAUGUUAUUGUGAUAGAGGCUGGAGGUCCU